GGGUUGUGAGGUUAAGCGACUAAGCGUACACGGUGGAUGCCCUGGCAGUCAGAGGCGAUGAAGGACGUGCUAAUCUGCGAUAAGCGUCGGUAAGGUGAUAUGAACCGUUAUAACCGGCGAUUUCCGAAUGGGGAAACCCAGUGUGUUUCGACACACUAUCAUUAACUGAAUCCAUAGGUUAAUGAGGCGAACCGGGGGAACUGAAACAUCUAAGUACCCCGAGGAAAAGAAAUCAACCGAGAUUCCCCCAGUAGCGGCGAGCGAACGGGGAGCAGCCCAGAGCCUGAAUCAGUGUGUGUGUUAGUGGAAGCGUCUGGAAAGGCGCGCGAUACAGGGUGACAGCCCCGUACACAAAAAUGCACAUGCUGUGAGCUCGAUGAGUAGGGCGGGACACGUGGUAUCCUGUCUGAAUAUGGGGGGACCAUCCUCCAAGGCUAAAUACUCCUGACUGACCGAUAGUGAACCAGUACCGUGAGGGAAAGGCGAAAAGAACCCCGGCGAGGGGAGUGAAAAAGAACCUGAAACCGUGUACGUACAAGCAGUGGGAGCACGCUUAGGCGUGUGACUGCGUACCUUUUGUAUAAUGGGUCAGCGACUUAUAUUCUGUAGCAAGGUUAACCGAAUAGGGGAGCCGAAGGGAAACCGAGUCUUAACUGGGCGUUAAGUUGCAGGGUAUAGACCCGAAACCCGGUGAUCUAGCCAUGGGCAGGUUGAAGGUUGGGUAACACUAACUGGAGGACCGAACCGACUAAUGUUGAAAAAUUAGCGGAUGACUUGUGGCUGGGGGUGAAAGGCCAAUCAAACCGGGAGAUAGCUGGUUCUCCCCGAAAGCUAUUUAGGUAGCGCCUCGUGAAUUCAUCUCCGGGGGUAGAGCACUGUUUCGGCAAGGGGGUCAUCCCGACUUACCAACCCGAUGCAAACUGCGAAUACCGGAGAAUGUUAUCACGGGAGACACACGGCGGGUGCUAACGUCCGUCGUGAAGAGGGAAACAACCCAGACCGCCAGCUAAGGUCCCAAAGUCAUGGUUAAGUGGGAAACGAUGUGGGAAGGCCCAGACAGCCAGGAUGUUGGCUUAGAAGCAGCCAUCAUUUAAAGAAAGCGUAAUAGCUCACUGGUCGAGUCGGCCUGCGCGGAAGAUGUAACGGGGCUAAACCAUGCACCGAAGCUGCGGCAGCGACACUAUGUGUUGUUGGGUAGGGGAGCGUUCUGUAAGCCUGUGAAGGUGUACUGUGAGGUAUGCUGGAGGUAUCAGAAGUGCGAAUGCUGACAUAAGUAACGAUAAAGCGGGUGAAAAGCCCGCUCGCCGGAAGACCAAGGGUUCCUGUCCAACGUUAAUCGGGGCAGGGUGAGUCGACCCCUAAGGCGAGGCCGAAAGGCGUAGUCGAUGGGAAACAGGUUAAUAUUCCUGUACUUGGUGUUACUGCGAAGGGGGGACGGAGAAGGCUAUGUUGGCCGGGCGACGGUUGUCCCGGUUUAAGCGUGUAGGCUGGUUUUCCAGGCAAAUCCGGAAAAUCAAGGCUGAGGCGUGAUGACGAGGCACUACGGUGCUGAAGCAACAAAUGCCCUGCUUCCAGGAAAAGCCUCUAAGCAUCAGGUAACAUCAAAUCGUACCCCAAACCGACACAGGUGGUCAGGUAGAGAAUACCAAGGCGCUUGAGAGAACUCGGGUGAAGGAACUAGGCAAAAUGGUGCCGUAACUUCGGGAGAAGGCACGCUGAUAUGUAGGUGAAGUCCCUUGCGGAUGGAGCUGAAAUCAGUCGAAGAUACCAGCUGGCUGCAACUGUUUAUUAAAAACACAGCACUGUGCAAACACGAAAGUGGACGUAUACGGUGUGACGCCUGCCCGGUGCCGGAAGGUUAAUUGAUGGGGUUAGCGCAAGCGAAGCUCUUGAUCGAAGCCCCGGUAAACGGCGGCCGUAACUAUAACGGUCCUAAGGUAGCGAAAUUCCUUGUCGGGUAAGUUCCGACCUGCACGAAUGGCGUAAUGAUGGCCAGGCUGUCUCCACCCGAGACUCAGUGAAAUUGAACUCGCUGUGAAGAUGCAGUGUACCCGCGGCAAGACGGAAAGACCCCGUGAACCUUUACUAUAGCUUGACACUGAACAUUGAGCCUUGAUGUGUAGGAUAGGUGGGAGGCUUUGAAGUGUGGACGCCAGUCUGCAUGGAGCCGACCUUGAAAUACCACCCUUUAAUGUUUGAUGUUCUAACGUGGACCCGUAAUCCGGGUUGCGGACAGUGUCUGGUGGGUAGUUUGACUGGGGCGGUCUCCUCCUAAAGAGUAACGGAGGAGCACGAAGGUUGGCUAAUCCUGGUCGGACAUCAGGAGGUUAGUGCAAUGGCAUAAGCCAGCUUGACUGCGAGCGUGACGGCGCGAGCAGGUGCGAAAGCAGGUCAUAGUGAUCCGGUGGUUCUGAAUGGAAGGGCCAUCGCUCAACGGAUAAAAGGUACUCCGGGGAUAACAGGCUGAUACCGCCCAAGAGUUCAUAUCGACGGCGGUGUUUGGCACCUCGAUGUCGGCUCAUCACAUCCUGGGGCUGAAGUAGGUCCCAAGGGUAUGGCUGUUCGCCAUUUAAAGUGGUACGCGAGCUGGGUUUAGAACGUCGUGAGACAGUUCGGUCCCUAUCUGCCGUGGGCGCUGGAGAACUGAGGGGGGCUGCUCCUAGUACGAGAGGACCGGAGUGGACGCAUCACUGGUGUUCGGGUUGUCAUGCCAAUGGCACUGCCCGGUAGCUAAAUGCGGAAGAGAUAAGUGCUGAAAGCAUCUAAGCACGAAACUUGCCCCGAGAUGAGUUCUCCCUGACCCUUUAAGGGUCCUGAAGGAACGUUGAAGACGACGACGUUGAUAGGCCGGGUGUGUAAGCGCAGCGAUGCGUUGAGCUAACCGGUACUAAUGAACCGUGAGGCUUAACCUUACAACGCCGAAGCUGUU
rnacentral:rRNA from 1 species